GUAGGUGGCAAGCGUUGUCCGGAAUUAUUGGGCGUAAAGCGCGCGCAGGCGGUUCUUUAAGUCUGAUGUGAAAGCCCACGGCUCAACCGUGGAGGGUCAUUGGAAACUGGAGAACUUGAGUACAGAAGAGGAAAGCGGAAUUCCACGUGUAGCGGUGAAAUGCGUAGAGAUGCGGAGGAACACCAGUGGCGAAGGCGGCUUUUCUGGUCUGUAACUGACGCUGAGGCGCGAAAGCGUGGGGAGCAAACAGGGAUUAGAUACCCUGGUAGUCCACGCCGUAAACGGUGAGUGCUAAGUGUUAGGGGGUUUCCCGCCCCUUAGUGCUGCAGCUAACGCAUUAAGCACUCCGCCUGGGGAGUACGGCCGCAAGGCUG
rnacentral:rRNA from 1 species